UCCCGGCAUCCGGGUGGCGGCUCACACCUGCACCCCGCCCCAGCGCAGCACCAUGCCCGCCAGCCACCCGGGUCCUCUCGCCGUCGCUCUCCUCCUCGGCCUGCUGCUGCUCGGCCUCCCCCGAGUCCCAGGCGGAGAAGCGGAGAAGAAAGGCGUGUGCCCGCAGCUACAGGCAGACCUGAACUGCACGCAGGAGUGCCUCUCCGACGCCCAAUGUGCCGACAACCUCAAGUGCUGCCGGGCCGGCUGCGCCACCAUCUGCCACCUGCCCGACGAAAAGCAGGGUUCCUGCCCCAAGGUGAACACUGACUUCCCCCAGCUUGGCCUCUGCCGGAACCAGUGCCAGGUGGACAGCCAGUGUCCUGGCCUGUUGAAAUGCUGCUACAAUGGUUGCGGGAAGGUGUCCUGUGUCACUCCUGUCCUCUGAGGAAAAGCCAGGAAGCUGGAAGGGAGCAGGGAGGACACAGAGGAAGGUCAAGGCUCCAGCCACCACAGCCCAAGGAGUGGGGGAGUGGAAGUUUCUGCCCGGCCUUGCCUGGCUCCAGCCCAGCUACCGUCCCCUCUUUCUGGCCGCUGUAUUCCCUCCAGAGCUGAGCAGUGCUUCUUCCUUUUCCAGCCAAUAAAGUGACCGCUUCCAGCACUGGG